AUCAGUGCCAUCCACAUGUAGUAGAUUUCGAAAGAAAUUUCCUUUAAAGUCGAAAUAAAUUCAUCGUAUCUUUCACGAGCGAUCUUCGUCGUGGAUCACUAAUUUAAAAAUAGUGAUUAAACUAACUUUCUCUUGAUCUCGAUCGAUGACACUCUUCAAAUACGUAAUAUAAUAUAAGAAGGGAUGGAUAAAUGAAGAAAGAUAGAAAUCUUUUAGACGUUUUUUUGCUAAAAAAGAAGCUUAAUCAGCUCGAUUUUACGUCACGUUCUUUCACUGGGUAUAAGUAGAAAUUGUAAAAGAUCUAUAUGGAUCGUGGAACAGAGGCUGAGAAAUAUUUAACGUUCUCCUUGAUGUCCGAGCUUCGAGUAUGACCGAGAGGAAAUUACCACACACACUAGAGCUUUUUUCUCAACGAGUACUGUGACGAUACCAUAACACGACUUUACAUCGGUACAAAUAGAGGUCGUCGUAAACCACUUUGCGUCGUAGUCAUGGACACCGCGCAAGCGCUUGUAAGCUCUCUCAUCGUAUUCACCCUACCCUUUUGUAGGGUACAUAUGUGUACAUGCAUACAUACGUACUCUAUAUAUGCUUACGUUAAUGGACGAGCUUUCGGAGAGUUUGUAUGUAUUUGAGCAUCCCCAUUCUAAACUAUAGUUAGGCAUGCGUGAGUGUACAAGUUCAAUGUCAAGUUCUCCCUGCUGUCGGCAUGCGACUAUUCUGGAACAAAGCUUACUGCGAAAGUCUAGAGAUCUAUUAUAACUGUCUAGAAUAACAAAGAAGGAGGAUGAAGACACCCUUUAUUAGAACGGAUAAAAUAUUCAAUAAUGGAUAACGUACCUUGAAACAUUUAGCUGUUCGAUAUCGAUUGUUCGUAAGGAUAUCGAAAGCUAUUUAUGAAUAUAUGAAUAUAUAUAUAUAUAUUUUAGAUCUUCAAAAGAAAUUUCUUUCAUCAUUUGAUAUGACCAAAUAAUAAAGCAUAUAUAUGGAAUUGUAAUGAAUUCGUUCAUUGUGAAUCGAUUCGAAGUAAAUGUUUAAAAAAUUCGUCGAAGUAAUCAGAGUACAGAUAUAACUAUAUAUAUGGUAAGGCCAUAUAACAACCGAUGGUCGCCAUAUUCUAUUAACAUAUAUUGACGAUUCUUAAGAAGCUGAUGACCUUAAUAAUGACCCUGAUAAAUGCUAACUUUCUUGAUUCUUAGCCGAUGGAUGGGAUACCAAUGGCGCUGACAAUGAUAACCACGUAUAUCGGCGGAAUGUCUCUAAGGUUAAAUUAUUUAAAACUGUAAUUCGCCUACAGCUGUCUUUGUCCCAUAUAUCUAUGCAUAAUUCUUACUUGACGAGCUAAGUCGACAGUAACGUUGUUCUCAAUGACGCUAUUUCUUUUUAUUCAUCAUCACGAAUUCGUUUUUGAUAGGUAAAAGGCUGAUUGGUUUAUCAGAGAUAUUACUGGUACCUCAUUAUCUAUAUAAUAAUUCAUUUUAAAAUGUUUAGAAAUCAUAUAGCUGAUAACAAAUAUCUAAUUUCUCUUUCUGUUUUUAAGAUAUCUCUUUUUAGUUUUUAUAUAACAAUUGACAUCUUCAUUAUUAAGAGAUAUGCAAUGCAUUUGUUAAUAUUCUGUAUGUAAAAAAUUCGUAGAAAGGAUAAAAAUUUUUUUUUAAUCGAUCAAACUAUUAUAGAUCAACUAUUAUGAAUCAUGUUAAACAUAAGACCGAUUCGUAAUGCGUACUAAAAAGCGUAAUCAUUUACUAGAAAUGAAAGAAAGUUCUGUGAUUAUAUCCAACAAGUAUUGCGAAUUGUUAAAAAGGUCAAAGAUGAAACAAAAAAUCUAUUAACCCGUCCUCGGUAUCAUGACGUAUGUAAUUUCCAUGAAAAUAUUUCGUGGUGUAUGGUUAGGUUUAUAAAAAUUAUAGAUUGUUUCAAUAGAAAAAUAUACGAAUAUGUUUUGGUUAUGCUAUAAGAUAUUACUGGUAUACUGUUUAAUAAAAAAAUCUUAUUUUUAAAAUAAAUAUAAAGAAAAACAGCAAUAAUUAAAAUCAAUAAUUAAGAAAUUUUCGCUUUAUAAGAAAACCAUUUUGUUUACACGAUCAGGUACUGACAAUUCUAAGAUUUUCAUCAACCAAUAAUUAUAUUAACGAUUUUUCUAUAUUCAAAUAAAAAAAUCUUUUCACUUUCUAAAUCGACGUGAUCCUUAGUGAAAGAUAAUAGUGUAUUCAUUCUUAAGAAUAAAAAAAGAAUCACAGUUCGAUAAAAAUAGUUUCUUCAUAAAAUAUUUCAUAUCGUGGAAGAGUUCUCACAUUUUUUGCGACUUCUGUAGUCUUUCCUUACUAUAUUUGCGAAUAUACAUAUGCUCUUUCUCUUCUUACUUUUUUCUUUCUUUUUUCUUUUUUUUUUCUUUUUUUUUUUAUAUGACAAAAUAAUACAAUGAUAAAAUUUCACUAAAACGCUUAAACGAAUGUCAUCUGCUGUUGUAUAUUGUAAAAAGAAUCAUCAUUGUCUCCGAAAGUGGUGAGAAAGCAUGUGAAAGGAUUGUUAUUAGAUCUAUCGUUAUUUCUAUCAUUACUGGUUAUCCAAUAAGCUUUUAUAUGAGCCGUUUGCGAUUUAUGUUUCACGAUUAGCUUCACAUCAGGAUUUCGUUUACGCCACUGUAUCAACGAUAUACAAUGAA